CCUACGGGUGGCAGCAGUGAGGAAUAUUGGUCAAUGGACGAGAGUCUGAACCAGCCAAGUAGCGUGAAGGAUGACUGCCCUAUGGGUUGUAAACUUCUUUUAUAUGGGAAUAAAACGUUCCACGUGUGGGAUUUUGUAUGUACCAUAUGAAUAAGGAUCGGCUAACUCCGUGCCAGCAGCCGCGGUAAUACGGAGGAUCCGAGCGUGAUCCGGAUUUAUUGGGUUUAAAGGGAGCGUAGGUGGAUUGUUAAGUCAGUUGUGAAAGUUUGCGGCUCAACCGUAAAAUUGCAGUUGAAACUGGCAGUCUUGAGUACAGUAGAGGUGGGCGGAAUUCGUGGUGUAGCGGUGAAAUGCUUAGAUAUCACGAAGAACUCCGAUUGCGAAGGCAGUUCACUGGACUGCAACUGACACUGAGGCUCGAAAGUGUGGGUAUCAAACAGGAUUAGAUACCCCAGUAGUC
rnacentral:rRNA from 1 species